rnacentral:rRNA from 1 species
AUACGUAGGGGGCAAGCGUUAUCCGGAUUUACUGGGUGUAAAGGGAGUGUAGGUGGCAUUGCAAGUCAGAAGUGAAAGCCCAGGGCUCAACCCUGGGACUGCUUUUGAAACUGCCGCGCUAGAGUGCAGGAGAGGUAAGUGGAAUUCCUAGUGUAGCGGUGAAAUGCGUAGAUAUUAGGAGGAACACCAGUGGCGAAGGCGGCUUGCUGGACUGUAACUGACACUGAGGCUCGAAAGCGUGGGUAGCAAACAGGAUUAGAUACCCUGGUAGUCCACACUGUAAACGAUGGAUACUAGGUGUAGGCAUGAAUGUGUCUGUGCCGGCGCAGAUGCAAUAAGUAUCCCACCUGGGGAGUACGACCGCAAGGUUAAA